rnacentral:rRNA from 1 species
AUGAGAAACAGGCUGUGUAACAUUACUUGCUCUUCAAUUGCAUUUUGUGUGGCAUGCUGUGCACCUCAGCUUCUGAAAAAGAAGAUGGGUAUGGAUGUUGACGUGAACAGGCGUGACGUAUGCACCAUGUGCUGCGGCAACAUAUUACCUCUGUUGGCCACGCGGCAAAGUCCACGUGGUGUUGCAGUGCCAAGAAGAAUUCGCAGACUGAAAGCCCUGCAAACAUUGGGUAUUGUCAACAUCACACGGGCAAAAGCCAUUCUGCAAGACAUAGAAGAGCUUACCCGGCUGCGCAAGCUAGGAGUGAUUAGCGUCAACAAUAGGAGCAGUCAAGAUUUGUUUUUGGCAAUUGCAGGUCUCAGCUGCUUGGAAUCGUUGUUAGUGCAGUCACUGGGAUAUCCUGGUUUAUCUACCUGCUUAGAUGGCAUCUCCUCACCUCCAGCAAAUCUUCAGAGCCUCAAGCUGUUAGUGCAGUCACUGGGAUAUCCUGGUUUAUCUAGCUGCUUAGAUGGCAUCUCCUCAACUCCAGCAAAUCUUCAAAGCCUCAAGCUGUACGGCAACAUUGUAAAAUUACCCAAAUGGCUCCAGCGGCUCACAAAUCUCGUCAAGCUGAGGCUACGGAGCUCAAGGAUUGUGGAGCAUGAUGCUGCCAUACAACUCCUUCCGAAGAUACUGAAUCUAUCUACUCUGCGCCUGUGGAGGGAGUCGUUCGUGGGCAACGAGAUUCAUUUCAACUUCUGUCAAGGUGCAUUCCUGAGCCUGGUGGUACUGGAGCUGGAUCGCCUAGCUGACCUGAAAUUGGUGAAGUUUGAAGAAGAAGUCACCCCGAAGCUCGAGCUGCUGCAGUUUCGUGCCUGGACUUCUCAAGCCAGCACUGGGUUGUUUACUGGGCUGCCAUCACUCCCAAGCCUUAAGGAAUUCAUGCUCAUGGAGUUCCACAACGGCUACAAGGAUACUUUUGUGGAAGAGCUGAGGGGUGAGCUGGCAAAGAAUCAAAAUCGACCGGCUUUGAAGAGGCACUGA